AGAGUUAGAUCCUGGCUAAGAUUGAACGCUGGCGGUAGGCUUAACACAUGCAAGUCGAGCGGUAACAGAGAUAGCUUGCUAUCUGCUGACGAGCGGCGGGGGGGGGAGAGUAACGCGUGGGAAUCUACCUUAUAGUGGGGGAUAGCCCGAAGAAAUUCGGAUUAAUAGGAUUAAUACCGCAUACGCCCUACGGGGGAAAGGGGGCUUCGGCUCUCUCUAUUCGAUGUGCCUGCGUAAGAUUAGCUAGUUGGUGAGGUAAAGGCUCACCAAGGCGACGAUCUUUAGCUGGUCUGAGAGGAUGAUCAGCCACACUGGAACUGAGACACGGUCCAGACUCCUACGGGAGGCAGCAGUGGGGAAUAUUGGACAAUGGGCGAAAGCCUGAUCCAGCAAUACCGCGUGUAUGAAGAAGGCCCGAGGGUUGUAAAGUACUUUCAAUUGUGAAGGGGGGGAUAGUUAGUUAAUAGCAUUCUAUCCUGACGUUAACUUUAGAAGAAGCACCGGCUAAUUCAGUGCCAGCAGCCGCGGUAAUACUGAAGGUGCAAGCGUUAAUCGGAAUUACUGGGCGUAAAGCGCGCGUAGGCGGUUGUUUAAGUCAGAUGUGAAAGCCCCGGGCUCAACCUGGGAACUGCAUUCCAAACUGCAAAACUAGAGUAUGGAGAGGAGAGUGGAAUUUCAGGUGUAGCGGUGAAAUGCGUAGAUAUCUGAAGGAACACCAGUGGCGAAGGCGGCUCUCUGGACCAACACUGACGCUGAGGUGCGAAAGCGUGGGUAGCAAACGGGAUUAGAUACCCCGGUAGUCCACGCCGUAAACGAUGUCAACUAACUGUUGGGGCGGGUUUCCGCUUAGUGGUGCAGCUAACGCGUUAAGUUAUCCGCCUGGGGAGUACGGCCGCAAGGUUAAAACUCAAAGGAAUUGACGGGGACCCGCACAAGCGGUGGAGCAUGUGGUUUAAUUCGAUGCAACGCGAAGAACCUUACCUGGUCUUGACAUAUCGCAAACUUUCCAGAGAUGGAUUGGUGCCUUAGGGAAUGCGAAUACAGGUGCUGCAUGGCUGUCGUCAGCUCGUGUCGUGAGAUGUUGGGUUAAGUCCCGUAACGAGCGCAACCCUUAUCCUUAUUUGCCAGCACAUUAUGGUGGGAACUAUAAGGAGACUGCCGGUGAUAAACCGGAGGAAGGCGAGGACGACGUCAAGUCAUCAUGGCCCUUACGACCAGGGCUACACACGUGCUACAAUGGGAAGGACAAAGGGUCGCUAAGCCGCGAGGUGGUGCUAAUCUCAUAAAUCUUUUCGUAGUCCGGAUCGGAGUCUGCAACUCGACUCCGUGAAGUCGGAAUCGCUAGUAAUCGUGGAUCAGAACGCCACGGUGAAUACGUUCCCGGGUCUUGUACACACCGCCCGUCAUACCAUGGGAGUGGGUUGCACCAGAAGUAGCUAGUCUAACUGUUAUAGAGGACGGUUACCA
rnacentral:rRNA from 1 species